rnacentral:rRNA from 1 species
ACGGCUCAGUAACACGUGGAUAACCUGCCCUUGGGUCCGGCAUAACCCCGGGAAACUGGGGAUAAUUCCGGAUAACGCACAUAUGCUGGAAUGCUUUAUGCGUCAAAUGGAUUCGUCUGCCCAAGGAUGGGUCUGCGGCCUAUCAGGUAGUAGUGGGUGUAAUGUACCUACUAGCCGACGACGGGUACGGGUUGUGAGAGCAAGAGCCCGGAGAUGGAUUCUGAGACAUGAAUCCAGGCCCUACGGGGCGCAGCAGGCGCGAAAACUUUACAAUGCGGGAAACCGUGACAAGGGGACACCGAGUGCCAGCGUCAUACGCUGGCUGUCCAGGUGUGUAAAAUACACCUGUUAGCAAGGGCCGGGCAAGACCGGUGCCAGCCGCCGCGGUAACACCGGCGGCCCGAGUGGUGAUCGUGAUUAUUGGGUCUAAAGGGUCCGUAGCCGGUUUGGUCAGUCCUCCGGGAAAUCUGAUAGCUCAACUGUUAGGCUUUCGGGGGAUACUGCCAGACUUGGAACCGGGAGAGGUAAGAGGUACUACAGGGGUAGGAGUGAAAUCUUGUAAUCCCUGUGGGACCACCUGUGGCGAAGGCGUCUUACCAGAACGGGUUCGACGGUGAGGGACGAAAGCUGGGGGCACGAACCGGAUUAGAUACCCGGGUAGUCCCAGCCGUAAACGAUGCUCGCUAGGUGUCAGGCAUGGCGCGACCGUGUCUGGUGCCGCAGGGNAAGCCGUGAAGCGAGCCACCUGGGAAGUACGGCCGCAAGGCUGAAACUUAAAGGAAUUGGCGGGGGGGCACAACAACGGGUGGAGCCUGCGGUUUAAUUGGACUCAACGCCGGAA